rnacentral:lncRNA from 1 species
AAGUGGUCACAAUCUAAGAAAUAAAAUUAUAUGGGUAGGGUCAGAAUGAUGUCACAACCCAACUAGAAAAUAGAAAUAAUAUAGGAUAGUUCGAAUUGAUGGAACGACCCUAUUGAAAAAGAGAAAUAAUAUGGGUAGGGUCGGAAUGAUGGCACGACCCUGCUGAAAAAGAAAAAUUAUACGGGUAGGGUUGGAAUGAUGGCACAACCCUACGCAAAUCAGAUUUGAGGAGUCACCGGAAAGACGAAUGGAACUAUACAAAUCAAAUCUGAGGAGUCACUGAAAAGACACAUGAUGCUAUGC